GCCUGUGUGGUGUAAUGGUUUGGGUGUUUGACUAAGACUCUGGAGACCAGGGUUCAAAUCCCCACUCAGUCA